ensembl:lncRNA
CGGCAAACGGCAUGGUGAAGCGGUGAAGCGUCAGAAAUAACUCAUGAUUCGUUGUACUAACGUUUCAUAGCGACCAAGUCGUAGCUAAAGACACGGUAAUUCACAUAGAUUAUCACAGAUAAUGUCACACAUGCGGUUAAAAUGUCGCGCAUUGUCUUGGUUCAAGUUACUCAACUGUGGCAAAUGAACCUAUAUGAUAAAGCUGUGCACAAACUCCAGUUUUUUCGAGCCAUGCAAACAAUUUAGCAUAAUCGAAAGGACAACAUAACGAGGGUCGGGAUAUCCCGAGCCUGCCCUCUCCCUCCACUGAGCAGAUGAUGGUUACAUCCGGGAUCCUGGGAUGGAGACAAACGACAUUAAACAGCUUGUACAAGCACGAGCAGAGGACCUGCAACAGGAAGAUCCUAAUGUCAUUGAUAACUGAAGAAGAACAGAAUUCGGCUGGCCGCCUUGUUCAUGCCUUGAGCGCAAGAAGCGUGAAGAAGGAAAAAACGAGUUGCUCCAAACCGGCCCGAGCCCGGGGAGCGCUCCGCUCCAGUCGAUGAGACGAGGUGGAAACUCAAUUCAGUUUUGGUUCCCCCAGUCCAGAUCCCAUCGGAGUGGGAAGACCUGGAAAUCCAGUUGCAAGCCAAGGAAACGGUAAUCUCUGAUCUGGAGAGGAAGCCCAGAGACGUUUUCCAACAGAAACAAAAGACUGUAACCCAGGUGCUGGAGGGCAGUAGGAGGCUCUCGUGUCUGCAGCGGAUCCAGAAAGGCGACAUGAAGGAGAUCGCUGAGAAAGACACUUGCAUCACCAAACUGCAGGCCGACACUGAGCUGCUGCAGCAAGAGGGGGGCCGACGCAGACGCUCAGCUGAAUGGGAGAGAGCGAGGGAGCUUCAGCAGGAGCCGAGGCGAAAAAGAUGAGGAAUGGAGGCAAAGCGAAGACGAAAGGAGGCAGAAAUGUGAAAAGCAGUGUCAGGAGGCAGACGAGGCGGCUGAGAAAAGUGGAGGAGGUGAAGAAGAGGGAGGAACAACAACGGCGGGAGGGGAUUGAGGAGGAGAGAGAGGCCCAUACUCGAAUCUAUAAAAAGGGGACUGAGAAGUCUGAGUUGCCGGUCAGAGUCUCACCAGAAGGAGGAGAUUCUUCUCUCUGAGGUUUGGAAAACACAAGCAAAAGAAGAAAAAGAAAAAGAUGAAAGCGCGAGAUGAGCAUGGGAGCCACCUGGACCAGGAUGUGGUUGGUUUGCGAGCCACACGGGACUCUGUGACGGGAACCUUGGCAAUGACGGAGAAACAAAAGCAACAGCUGGUCAUUGACAAUGCACGGCUCAAUGAAAGCAGAGCAAACUGCAAACCACCGAGUGCUUGUGGAACGACACCCGUGAAACAACACCGGCCCCGGACACGGAAAGAGCAGCAGAGAGUGCAGAUCCAAGACCAGUUGCACCGCUCCAACAAAGAGAAGGAGCACGUGCAGCAGGAGCUGAUACACGUGCGUCACACACCACUGAAAAGAAGAAGAGGGAGAUUAGGACGUGCGCGCUGGUGAGGGAGCUCACCGAGAGUAAGAUGCGGCACUCUGAAUGUCAAAAUGAGCGUUUGGAUCUUAGGCCUUGGGGGGACCUGAGCGGGGAGAGGGACGAGCAGGGGGCCCAGACGGGGGGCCGGAGCAGAGAGUCUGACCACGGCAUCCAGAACGAAGAGACACCGGAGGCUGAGAAGGUCCAUGACAACAGGACCUUACACCUGCAGGAGGAGGUGGGACCAUUGAAACACGAGGUCGGAGGUCACCAGGAUGAGUCGUGUCCGCUCAGCCAAGAGGCCGGAGGGAUGCAGCGCCUCAUGGAGCAGAAAGAGAAGCAGCAACAGCGGCGGCUACGCCAUCAGCUCCGCGUUGGUCGGCAACAGGUCGAGACAUUUGGAGGGAAGCUAAAGAAGCAGGAGGUUGAGAUGGAAAUUCUCCGUGAGCAGCUGAAAGGAGCCGAGGAGGUGAUAAGAGACGCAGGUUUACGAGCCCGGGAGCAGAAGGAAACCAUAGCCAUUUUUAGACAAAAGUACAACGCAGCCAUGGAGAAGGUGCAUCGGGUGCAAGGACAGGUGGAGCUAUUGAAAGAGGAACUACAGUACUCACAGCAACAGCUUCGAGAUUCCCAAUUGGCCGCGCAUUCAGCGAAAGAGGAGCUCGCUGGGAUGGAGCAGCGGUAUCUGGAGAAGGUCGGCCACUGGGAGAACGCCCAGGAGGCUUUAGACCAGUUGGCGGAUGAACUCCUGGCGAGCCGGACCCUCCUGAGGGAGAGUCAACAAAGAGCUGACCACCUUAAAGGCUUAGUGGAAACCAUGCGGGAGCAGGUGGACACGAUCAAACAGCAGAAGCUGAUGUUGGAGUGCGACCGACAGCUGCACCAACAGAGUCGUUGUGAUGAGCAGUGGCACAGAGAGCAGCUACACAAGCGCUGCACCGAGCAGGUUGUGCGCCUUGCCGAGUGUGAAAAGGCGAUUCUUCAGAUGAAGUCGGAGCUGGAGAGACAGGUCCGGCGAGAAGCAGAUCGGAGGCAAAGUUCCGUUGCUUCCCGCCGUGCAAACAUGAGCGAUCGCAUCCAACUGGAACAGGAAGUGAUACAUCUGAAAAAGGAAGUGGCAGCCGUAAGGCGUGAGCCGGCGGACACCCAAAAGGUUCAUAUGGCACUUGGCCGACAGUCAGAGGAGCAGCUGAAGGAGGUCAGGAGAGCGGCGGCGAGGCGGAGCGGCGAUGGGUUCGCGCACAGAGAGGAGGUGCAGAGACUUCAGGAGGACUUACUGAAGGCGGAGGAGAGAAUGAGGAGGCAGUUGAGUCGAGAGCUGGAGGAGCCGCGCAGCGAGCCGCAAGUGACAGCGGAGGAGUUGGCAACCCGUGCAGAGGAGGCGAGGCGGAUGCAGGGGCGGCUGAAUGAGGGAAAGCUAGCGGAGGAGAAAAUAAGGUCACGGGACGGGGGGCCGGAGACAGAAGUGGCGGCGCUCCGGAGGAAUCUUCAGCAUGCUGUCGAUCACAAACUCCAGGCGGAGCGGGAGAAACGGGAAGCCCGGGAACAGGUGGACACACUGCUGGCGGAGCUGGAGGAGACGCGGUCUGAGAAGGCAAACCUGCGCCAUGAGAGCCAGUUGGUCGUGACUAAUGUCAACUGUUGGAUUGCUAAACAAAAAGCUUCCAACGAGAGCCUCAGUGGCCGGACGGAGGCCCAGAACAAGGUGCUGCUCAUCCUCACUGAAGAGAAAGCGCACCUUCAAGGUUCUAAUGACGCGUUGAAAGCGGAGGUAACGCGACUAAAAGAGGUGGGGGACGAGAAGACGAGAGACACGGAGCGCUUCCAGGCCUGGACCCGGGCGUCCCGCAAGACAGGAGAGCCAUGGAAAAGCAGAGCUGUGCGGCUGUGGCUCUAAACCUCAGCAAAAUCCAGGACAUGCAGACUAGACUUCGAAGCAACCUGGAGGCCAUCAGAAUGCUAAAUCAACAAUUGAACUCUCUCAGCGGGGAGAAUAAGCGGUUGCGCAGGCAGCUGGAGGACGAGCGGUCCGUGCGCAGACUGCUGCCUCCUCUUCCUCCUCCUCCACCUUCCAGCAGAGCUCCAUCGUCCACCUCCCCCUGUCCCCCGGUGCUCACCCGGCUCUCCUCUCUGCGCCCGCCUUGUUCUCGUCCCACCGCCCCCCCCCCCCCCUCCACCCCUCAGGCGUGGACAGAGCCUCGCUGUUGGGACAGGUGAGUCAGGGGGGGGGGGUCAGGCCCAACGCCUCACUGGGAAAAGUGCUCGGCCCGGGAGGACGAGCGGGGAUCUGAACAGACGAAGCAACACUGAAGACUUUGACCCGUCAUGACUCGUUGGCCUCCACCUCCUCGCCAGGGAGCGAAGUCAGUGCGAGGUUAAUGUCCUGCAGGUCCAAGCCGACUCCCAGGGUGCUUUUUGGCCUGAAGGGGGCUCCAGAACCGGCGAACGAUGGAAUUCCCUCAAAUCAUGUAAUAUCCACUCAGGAUAUUUCUACUGCUGGGCCAGAAGGAGAAGGAGAAUUUAUUCCAAGA